rnacentral:rRNA from 1 species
AUGGUUGACCUCGGAUCAGGUAGGAAUACCCGCUGAACUUAAGCAUAUCAAUAAGCGGAGGAA